GACAGAGGGUGCAAACGUUGUUCGGAAUUACUGGGCGUAAAGCGUGUGUAGGCGGCCAUAUAAGUCGGAUGUGAAAGCCCAGGGCUCAACCCUGGAAGUGCACUCGAUACUGUAUGGCUCGAGUACUGGAGAGGUUGGUGGAAUUCUCGGUGUAGAGGUGAAAUUCGUAGAUAUCGAGAGGAACACCGGUGGCGAAGGCGGCCAACUGGACAGAUACUGGCGCUGAGGCACGAAAGCGUGGGGAGCAAACAGG
rnacentral:rRNA from 1 species